rnacentral:tRNA from 1 species
GGAGGUAGAAGGGUUCUGGUGUACCCUGCGGUCUUCAAAACCGUUGUGGGGAGUUAGGAGCUUCCCGGGUGAGUUCGAUUCUCACAUACCUCCGCCA